UACAGAGGGUGCGAGCGUUAAUCGGAAUUACUGGGCGUAAAGCGCGCGUAGGCGGCUUUGCAAGUCGGGUGUGAAAUCCCCAGGCUUAACCUGGGAACUGCAUUCGAGACUGCCUAGCUAGAGGGCGGGAGAGGAGCGCGGAAUUCCCGGUGUAGCGGUGAAAUGCGUAGAGAUCGGGAGGAACAUCAGUGGCGAAAGGCGGCCAUCUGGAUCAACACUGACGCUGAAGCACGAAAGCGUGGGGAGCAAACAGG
rnacentral:rRNA from 1 species